AUUGAACGCUGGCGGCAUGCUUUACACAUGCAAGUCGAGCGGUAACAGGCCGCAAGGUGCUGACGAGUGGCGAACGGGUGAGUAAUGCAUCGGAACGUGCCCAGCCGUGGGGGAUAACUACUCGAAAGAGUAGCUGAUACCGCAUACGAUCUAUGGAUGAAAGCGGGGGACCGUAAGGCCUCGCGCGAUUGGAGCGGCCGAUGUCAGAUUAGGUAGUUGGUGGGGUAAAGGCUCACCAAGCCAACGAUCUGUAGCUGGUCUGAGAGGACGACCAGCCACACUGGGACUGAGACACGGCCCAGACUCCUACGGGAGGCAGCAGUGGGGAAUUUUGGACAAUGGGCGCAAGCCUGAUCCAGCAAUGCCGCGUGCAGGAAGAAGGCCUUCGGGUUGUAAACUGCUUUUGUACGGAACGAAACGGCUCUGGUUAAUACCCGGGGCUAAUGACGGUACCGUAAGAAUAAGCACCGGCUAACUACGUG
rnacentral:rRNA from 1 species